ACUCGUUGAACCUUCGGAUAGUCAGAACAUUUUAUUACAGUUAUUACAUUUUGCAUUGAUAAUUUGUUCAUGUUAUUUUCAAAUUUGUUUAUGAAUUGGUGAUUUUAGUUUUGAAAUCAGAGGGGGAGUGUUAUGUCACACUCCGGAAAUUACGGAUCUGUCCGUCAUUAUGUCGAAUUUUAUUUUUGAUGUCUGCCACACGGCAAAGAUAAACAAACUUUUCUUUGGUAUUCAACCCUCCACAGGUUUUUUACCCUCUCUGGAGGUCUGCAAUAAAAGAUAGUAACUCAGG